CGGGGGGUUGCUAGGGGAUGCGGGGGGUUGCAGACAGCUGGCGCUCGGCCAGGAUACCUACCCACUUUUCCGGGUCCGGGCGCGCCACACGAUUUUUGGGAGCCUCCCGGCCAUUCCUGGAAAGUGGGCAAGUUUGAUUUAACAUGCAAUCAUUAGCAUACAUCUCUGUGUACUUACUGCUUUAAAGUGCUGCAUUCAGCGCUGCGCUACUGACCUGUCCCUGCAAAGUCCUCACUGGUGGAUUUGUGACCCGGCAGAUGUAAUGUACAUGUGCUGCCGGGAUACAGUUACAGUGCUAGUGGUUCCUCUCCGGUGAUAUCUGGAAUAUAGUAGACAAUAAUCUACAAUGGGUACCGCUUUCUGGAGCUUGAUACAUACAGCCGGAUUGCAGCCAAUAUGGGGACUGCAAUGCUGAGGGAGUCUGAAGACAGAACUGGGGUACCCUAAAGUGAUGCAGGAAACCUCUGGGAAUCGCGGUUUUAUGAGAUUUUACUGCAAUAAUAGUGAUAAAUAUGGAAUGUCACCGGAAAAGGGAAGAGGGAGAUUUCUCAGUGAACUACAGGUGAUUAACCACUGGCCUGUGGGCACCAAUAACCAGUAGAGUAAUUCCUCUCAUACACCUAAUCAGCCUCACAUUGUAUGGAUCUCAGCUGUUCAGUGCAGCUGUGCCGCAGCUGCUCUGCAUGGAUAAGGCACACCGUACACAGUGUCUGACUGACACAGCGAUGACGAAGACGAGUCUGACCAGCUCGUGAAGAGAACAGAGAAUCUCACACAGGAGGUGUCAGCCGGCAUAUUACAUGUACACCACAUCAAUAUCACAUAUACUGAGUGCUCGCUGUGCUGGCCUGAAGUUGCCCCUUCACACAGUACUCAAUUGCAGUGCACUAUGAACCCAGGCUAAAUCAGAGGGCCCGACGCUAACAACUUGAAGCAAUUGAUGCAGACAACCUUCUACAAUUGAUUGACGGCUAUCACUUUAUCCAACAGGAUAGUGCAAUCCCCACAAAGAUCAUUGGAGUGUUAGCCCCGAGCCAGUGGGAAAUUAAUAUAUAGCUAGUACUAGUAAUAAUAACUCUUAGAGCAAAUCAAGAUGAAUUGUUUGAAUUUCAUCCGCUGCAGCCCUUACUCUUGUAAUGAGUCGCUGUGUUCCUCCUAUCCUUAAAUUCCUUACUCAUAACCCAACCAUACCGGGCAGCGGAAAAAACAUCCCGCUCUAUUGCAUGAAAUGCAAAUUUACAAACACUGUGUGAAAUGGCAUUUUCUGAAUUGACAAAACAAACUCAGGACAUGAACGCUGUAUACUUGGACUUCACACCUCUGCAAAAUGGUCAGUUCCACCACGAAACGCGUCAUGUGAAAUUGUACCUCCACUUCGUUUAUCCCUAUGUGUAAGGGCGAAGGUGUAUUUGACUCCACAAUCUUCCCGCAUUGAUGUGACUGGAACCUCCUCAGAUCAUUCCUCUGUGCUGCUGUGACAUGUAAGUGGUUGGCCCGGCUACAUGCUGACCUAAUGCUUCUCCGAUUUCCUUUGCUCACUGUUUAUUCAGCAAUCACACAUUGCGGCUUAUUGAUGGCACUUUCCGGAGACUGGAGAAUUAUUUCACUUCCCGAUUCCCAGGUACCAGUGGCAAACAAGGGAGGCACAGCCAGCUUUACACUUUAUAAAUGACUAGUAUUUCAUUGGCUUCUCGGAUUGAGUGACAUACGCCUAGCAGAAUAUACAGUAUACCUUGCAUUAUACUGUAGCAAUUCUGCAAUUCUAAAUGAUUCAGGUGCUCUAUGAUGAUCAAUGAUUGUGUAUGGCACUGUACCGCAGCUGGCAAACUGCUUACAGUAUCCUGAUUGACUCAAACCUGCGGCUAUAACUUCAUGGAACAUUUAUGCUAAAAUGUGCUACAAAAAGAAACGAAAACUGAAUCUCCAUAGUAUCAAAUACAUGUAUCACAGCUCUUUUGUAUAGUUACAAAAUCUUACAUCACAAUCUGUUAACAUUUAAAAACAGAUUCUGUGGCUAAGAAGCAAUUUUAGGUGUACAUAAUAGAUUUUAACGUAUACUAGCUGUUCAAUCCAUUCUCCGCACGGGAGUUUCUGAUUUUCGCGGUUGUAAAUAUAAAUGAGUGUUAAAAAUUUGGUAAAUCUAUAGAGAUGUAAAUUUGAGAUGUCUUAAUGUAAGUAAAUAUUAAUCCAUGGUUCUUGACGUUACCAUAGGAGCAUCCGUAGCAGAUACGGUAAAAAGUGACAGGACCACUUUUGUAGUUUAUUCAACUCUACUCACUGGAAGUGCAAUCCAAAUUUUUAUAUGAUUGUCCGUUUGGGCGUUAUCGUUCACGCAAUGCAAGCCACGCAUCGGUAAUGACGUCAUUAUGUCAACCCCCUUUUCAUCCUCUUAGAGGAGGUUUAUUAGAAUUCUAAUUACGUAGUUUUCUUAUUUCCCACCUGAAGAAUAUCUAUGUUACAUUUCAUCUUCCUAACAUAUCGGGAAGUAAGAGAAUUAGUGAUGAGUCAGCAAGUGAGUGAGUGAGUCAGUGAGUGAGUCAGUCAGUUAGUGAGUGAGUGAGUGAGUGAGUCAGUGAGUGAGGGCUUUUGCAUUUAUAUAUAUAGAGUUACCAAAGUACGGGUUUAUAGAAGUUGAGAUGUUGGCCCUCAUUCCGAGUUGAUUGCACCAAGCAACUUUUUGCUGCUGGUGCGAUCAACUAAUCUCCGCCUAUGGGGGAGUGUAUUUUAGCAUAGCAGGGCUGCGAUCGCUUGUGCAGCCCUGCUAUGCUAAAAAAGUUUCACACAAAACAAGACCAGCCCUGGACAUACUUACCCUGCGCGACGGGUCCAGCGAUGAUGGUCACGGCUUUGACGUCAGACAUCAGCCCUCCGUUUGCCUGGACACGCCUGCGUUUUUCUUACCACUCCCCGAAAACGGCUUCAAACGGUCAGUUGACGCCCCGGAACGCAUUCCGGCUGUCAAUCUUCUUGCGGUCGCCGCUGCGACCGCUUUCUUCGCUGUCAGCGUCGUUGCCCGGCGGCAAAGACGCGCGUGUGCAAUGCGCACGCCGUGCAUGCGCAUUCCAGACCCGAUCGCACCGCUGCGAAGAAGUGCAGUGUGCGAUCGGGUCGGAAUGAGGGCCGUUGCCCGUAGCAUCAGACUCUACUUACUGUAUCAUUUCUCUAACGCCUUCUAGAAGAUAAUACAUAUGUAAACUCUGGUUGCUAUUGGCAACAUCUCCACUUUUGAAAAUCCGCACUUUAAUAAAUAUACUCCUCUGUUGUACAAAAGGAAUAGUUUUCAUUUUGUAUCAUGUUCCUGAUUAAACUGUUUUUGUUACUCUAUUAAUAAAGUUACGAGAAUGCACAAUGAA